ensembl:rRNA 5S_rRNA 5S ribosomal RNA
GUCUAUGGCCAUACCACCCUGAACGCACCUGAUCUCGUCUGAUCUCAGAAGCUAAGCAGGGUCGGGCCUGGUUAGUACUUGGAUGGGAGACCUCCUGGGAAUACCAGGUGCUGUAGGCC